rnacentral:rRNA from 1 species
AUUGAACGCCGGCGGCAUGCCUUACACAUGCAAGUCGAACGGUAACGCGGGGCAACCUGGCGACGAGUGGCGAACGGGUGAGUAAAGCAUCGGAACGUGCCCAGUAGUGGGGGAUAGCCCGGCGAAAGCCGGAUUAAUACCGCAUACGACCUAUGGGUGAAAGGGGGGGAUCGCAAGACCUCUCGCUAUUGGAGCGGCCGAUGUCAGAUUAGGUAGUUGGUGGGGUAAAGGCCUACCAAGCCGACGAUCUGUAGCUGGUCGGAGAGGACGACCAGCCACACUGGGACUGAGACACGGCCCAGACUCCUACGGGAGGCAGCAGUGGGGAAUUUUGGACAAUGGGCGCAAGCCUGAUCCAGCCAUGCCGCGUGCGGGAAGAAGGCCUUCGGGUUGUAAACCGCUUUUGUCAGGGAAGAAAUCCUUUGGGUUAAUACCUCGGGGGGAUGACGGUACCUGAAGAAUAAGCACCGGCUAACUACGUGCCAGCCGCCGCAGUAACAC